AUGCCUGCAGGUCUCUGGUUGAUCCUGCCGGACCCGACUGCUAUCAGAGUGGGCUAAGCCAUGCGAGUUGACGUAGUAAUACGUAGCGAACGGCUCAGUAACACGUAGUCAACAUGCCCAGGGGACGUGGAUAACCUCGGGAAACUGAGAAUAAACCGCGAUAGGUCACAAUUUCUGGAAUGGAUUUUGGCUUAAAUCUACAUGGCCCCUGGAUUGGACUGCGGCCGAUCAGGCUGUUGGUGAGGUAAUGGCCCACCAAACCUGUAACCGGUACGGGCUCUGAGAGGAGGAGCCCGGAGAUGGGCACUGAGACAAGGGCCCAGGCCCUAUGGGGCGCAGCAGGCGCGAAACCUCUGCAAUGGGCGAAAGCCUGACAGGGUUACUCUGAGUGAUUUCCGCUAAGGAGAUCUUUUGGCAGCUCUAAAAAUGGUGCAGAAUAAGGGGUGGGCAAGUCUGGUGUCAGCCGCCGCGGUAAUACCAGCACCCCGAGUGGUCGGGACGAUUAUUGGGCCUAAAGCAUCCGUAGCCGGUUGUGCAAGUCCUCCGUUAAAUCCAGCCGCUCAACGGAUGGGCUGCGGAGGAUACUACAGGACUAGGAGGCGGGAGAGGCAAGCGGUACUUAGUGGGUAGGGGUAAAAUCCUUUGAUCCAUUGAAGACCACCAGUGGCGAAGGCGGCUUGCCAGAACGCGCUCGACGGUGAGGGAUGAAAGCUGGGGGAGCAAACCGGAUUAGAUACCCGGGUAGUCCCAGCUGUAAACGAUGCAGACUCGGUGAUGGGCUAGCCUCGUGUCAGCCCAGUGCCGCAGGGAAGCCGUUAAGUCUGCCGCCUGGGGAGUACGGUCGCAAGACUGAAACUUAAAGGAAUUGGCGGGGGAGCACCACAGGGGGUGAAGCCUGCGGUUCAAUUGGAA
rnacentral:rRNA from 1 species